CUACUGUUAUGAAUUGCCACAACUUGGAGGCUUAGAACAACACAAAUUAGUACUCUCACAGUCCUGAAGGCUACAGCUCUGCAAUCAAGAUAUCAGCAAGGCCAUCAUUCCACUAAGGCUCUAAGGAAGAAUCCAUUUUUGCCUCUUCCUGCUUCUGGGAUGCAUCCACUUUAUUAGACGGCAAACUAGAAAAUGCUUCCUACAGUCGCCACAUAAAAAGAAUUAUCAUCAUGCCAAACAAAUUAUCAUCGGUGCCAAUGAUGUGAGAAUUGAGCAGAAAGAGCAAUGCAACAGGUUUUCUUUUCUGGCCAUGCCAAGGUGGAAGGUGAUCUUAAUUGAAGAAAGAAUGCUCAAAGUAGGUAUGUGCAGUUUCAGAAGUACAGCUAUAUAAUAUCCGCUAUGCCUUGUCCAGUAACCCUCUCCUUAAUCCUGGCUCUCACGUGGAUUGUCCUUCCUAUAUUAUAAUCCUCCACAUGUCUUUCCUUUACAGAGUUAAUCCCGAAUUACGUAUUUCAAAUAUCUAAUAUAGUUGUGUUAGAAAAAGAAAUUCUCAAGUUCUGAGAUUAUGGAAUAUCCUGAAAGAAUGCUAAAGCAACUAUACCCCUUAAAGAAAGAUCAUUAUCAACUUGUAGAAAACUAAUCCUAUAGUGUGGUGAGAAUUUUUGGCAGUCAUAUUGCACCACUCUCAUACUUUUAACAAUGCAUUUGUGAGAACCACCUACAAUAAAAAUAUGGCAAUAAGAUUAGCAACUAGUGUUAUUUGUUAUAUUUUCC
rnacentral:lncRNA from 10 species